GAAAUGCGAUAAUUAAUGUGAAUUGCAGAAUUCAGUGAAUCAUCGAGUCUUUGAACGCACAUUGCGCCCCCUGGUAUUCCGGGGGGCAUGUCUGUCCGAGCGUCAUUGCUGCCCUCAAGCACGGCUUGUGUGUUGGGCUUCCGUCCAUGGCAACGGGGACGGGCCCAAAAGGCAGUGGCGGCACCAUGUCUGGUCCUCGAGCGUAUGGGGCUUUGUCACCCGCUCCCGUAGGUCCAGCUGGCAGCUAGCCUCGCAACCAAUCUUUUUAACCAGGUUGACCUCGGAUCAGGUAGGGAUACCCGCUGAACUUAAGC
rnacentral:misc_RNA from 1 species